AUUUCAAUAAAGCAGAGACUGAAUCAUUCUGAGUAUCGAGGGAAGGAACGACUGUACUCAGAACUACUAUGAAAAAGGAGCCAGGAAAAAGAAAAAUGGGUUUUGUUCCCGAAAACUCAAAACAAAAUUCACUUUGCAGGGUGUUCUGAGGAUCAGAUGCCAUCUUCUUGAUCAGAAGCAAGGUCCCCUGCCUGUCCGAAUAGAAAGCAGGCAAGCUUCAGGAUCGAUGCCAUCCUUUUGAGGUUGACCAAGUCAGGAAACAGACACCACAGGAAAUUUGAGACAUCUACUUUAUUGAUCUAUGCUACAAUAGGAGACUGUUGAAAGCCUGUUGUAUUUCUCCUUGCCUCCCUCUUCGACCAAAGACAGCAAAGAUAAGAUACAAGAAGAAGCAUCACAUAAGAUCCAGGAGAGUAGAACUGAAAAUUGUAUGAAUCUCAACAAGUAAAACUGUUUACUGUCUUAGUUAAUCUUUCUCAAAUUGUUUCAAAUUACUAUAAAACCAACCUUAAAAUAA